UACGGAGGGGGCUAGCGUUGUUCGGAAUUACUGGGCGUAAAGCGCACGUAGGCGGCUUUGUAAGUUAGCGGUGAAAGCCCGGGGCUCAACUCCGGAAUUGCCUUUAAGACUGCAUCGCUAGAAUUGUGGAGAGGUAAGUGGAAUUCCGAGUGUAGAGGUGAAAUUCGUAGAUAUUGGGAAGAACACCGGUGGCGAAGGCGGCGACCUGGUCCGAUACUGACGCUGAGGCGCGAAAGCGUGGGGAACAAACAGG
rnacentral:rRNA from 1 species